UGGGGAAUAUUGCACAAUGGGCGCAAGCCUGAUGCAGCCAUGCCGCGUGUAUGAAGAAGGCCUUCGGGUUGUAAAGUACUUUCAGCGGGGAGGAAGGGAGUAAAGUUAAUACCUUUGCUUAUUGACGUUACCCGCAGAAGAAGCACCGGCUAACUCCGUGCCAGCAGCCGCGGUAAUACGGAGGGUGCAAGCGUUAAUCGGAAUUACUGGGCGUAAAGCGCACGCAGGCGGUUUGUUAAGUCAGAUGUGAAAUCCCCGGGCUCAACCUGGGAACUGCAUCUGAUACUGGCAAGCUUGAGUCUCGUAGAGGGGGGUAGAAUUCCAGGUGUAGCGGUGAAAUGCGUAGAGAUCUGGAGGAAUACCGGUGGCGAAGGCGGCCCCCUGGGCGAAGACUGACGCUCAGGUGCGAAAGCGUGGGGAGCAAACAGG
rnacentral:rRNA from 1 species